CCUGACUGCUAUCGGAUUGAUACUAAGCCAUGCGAGUCAUUGUAGCAAUACAAGGCAGACGGCUCAGUAACGCGUAGUCAACCUACCCUGUGGACGGGGAUAACCUCGGGAAACUGAGAAUAAUACCCGAUAGAACAUUAUACCUGGAAUGGUUUAUGUUUCAAAUAAUUUAUUGCCGUAGGAUGGGACUGCGGCCUAUCAGUUUGUUGGUGAGGUAAUGGCCCACCAAGACUAUUACAGGUACGGGCUCUGAGAGGAGUAGCCCGGAGAUGGGUACUGAGACACGGACCCAGGCCCUAUGGGGCGCAGCAGGCGAGAAAACUUUGCAAUGUGCGAAAGCACGACAAGGUUAAUCCGAGUGGUUUCUGCUAAAGGAACCUUUUGCCAGUCCUAGAAACACUGGUGAAUAAGGGGUGGGCAAGUUCUGGUGUCAGCCGCCGCGGUAAAACCAGCACCUCAAGUGGUCAGGAUGAUUAUUGGGCCUAAAGCAUCCGUAGCCUGCUUUGUAAGUUUUCGGUUAAAUCCAUACGCUCAACGUAUGGGCUGCCGGGAAUACUGCACAGCUAGGGAGUGGGAGAGGUAGACGGUACUCGGUAGGAAGGGGUAAAAUCCUUUGAUCUAUUGAUGACCACCUGUGGCGAAGGCGGUCUACCAGAACACGUCCGACGGUGAGGGAUGAAAGCUGGGGGAGCAAACCGGAUUAGAUACCCGGGUAGUCCCAGCUGUAAACUAUGCAAACUCAGUGAUGCAUUGGCUUGUGGCCAAUGCAGUGCUGCAGGGAAGCCGUUAAGUUUGCCGCCUGGGAAGUACGUACGCAAGUAUGAAACUUAAAGGAAUUGGCGGGGGAGCACCACAAGGGGUGAAGCCUGCGGUUC
rnacentral:rRNA from 1 species